rnacentral:rRNA from 1 species
UGGGGAAUUUUGGACAAUGGGCGAAAGCCUGAUCCAGCCAUGCCGCGUGCGGGAAGAAGGCCUUCGGGUUGUAAACCGCUUUAGUCCGGGAAAAAGGGCUGACGUGCUAAUACCGCGUUGGUUUGAUGGUACUGGAAGAAUAAGCACCGGCUAACUACGUGCCAGCAGCCGCGGUAAUACGUAGGGUGCGAGCGUUAAUCGGAAUUACUGGGCGUAAAGCGUGCGCAGGCGGUCUUGUAAGACAGUCGUGAAAGCCCCGGGCUUAACCUGGGAACUGCAUUUGAAACUGGCAGGCUUGAGUCUUGUAGAGGGGGGUAGAAUUCCAGGUGUAGCGGUGAAAUGCGUAGAUAUGCGGAGGAACACCAAUGGCGAAGGCAGCCCCCUGGGUCGAUACUGACGCUCAUGCACGAAAGCGUGGGUAGCAAACA